rnacentral:rRNA from 1 species
AGAACGAACGCUGGCGGCAUGCCUAAUACAUGCAAGUCGAACGAACUCUUCGGAGUUAGUGGCGCACGGGUGCGUAACGCGUGGGAAUCUGCCCCUUGGUUCGGAAUAACAGUUGGAAACGACUGCUAAUACCGGAUGAUGACGAAAGUCCAAAGAUUUAUCGCCAAGGGAUGAGCCCGCGUAGGAUUAGCUAGUUGGUGAGGUAAAGGCUCACCAAGGCAACGAUCCUUAGCUGGUCUGAGAGGAUGAUCAGCCACACUGGGACUGAGACACGGCCCAGACCUCUACGGGAGGCAGCAGUAGGGAAUAUUGGACAAUGGG